rnacentral:misc_RNA from 1 species
AAGUCGUAACAAGGUUUCCGUAGGUGAACCUGCGGAAGGAUCAUUAUCGAGUUUUGAACGGGUUGUAGCUGGCCUCUCACGAGGCAUGUGCACGCCUGGCUCAUCCACUCUUAACCUCUGUGCACUUUAUGUAAGAGAAAAAAAUGGUGGAAGCUUCCAGGAUCUCGCGAGAGGUCUUCGGUUGAACAAGUCGUUUUUCUUUCUUAUGUUUUACUACAAACGCUUCAGUUAUAGAAUGUCAACUGUGUAUAACACAUUUAUAUACAACUUUCAGCAACGGAUCUCUUGGCUCUC